GCACCAAGGAUUGCAAAAGAGAAUGGAGGACACCAUGAAGCAGGACUGGAAGAAACGAGGGCUUACUCAAAAGUUUUACUUUAUUUAUUUUCAUGAAAUCUUACAAAUAUUAAUUAUGAUGUGUUUAGGUUCAUAUCUCCUCAUUGACUUUGCACUUUUUUCUGCUCAAAGACAGGCAGAAAUAUUCCAACUCCUGCCAACUGAAAGCUCCUUUCCUCUUUAGCCCUUUAAUAAUUGAUAAAAAUGUAAAGUAAAUAACAUGGAAACAGAGUGAAAAGUGCUUGAAUAUUUAUAUAUUCCACCUGUUAACGUUUGACAUUGAGUUGACAUUGUUUGUCCUAGGCAAUGCUUUUGAAGCAUGGCAAGUUAAUGUUAUGCAGCUCCCUCAAACUGUAGAGUCCAGAGAGGAGUUGGUGUAACCAUGAUAUAUGUAGACCAAAAUUCUGUUUUUACCCUUGUUGCAGGAAGACCGUCCAUUAGUUGCAUCUGCGCUUGACAUCAGCUAAGCAGCCAUCGGCUGUCAUGCUGAGUUGGCGUCACAGCACACAGCAUGAGAAAUUGACCCUUUUUCUCAUGAUCACAGGCGUGAAUCUGGUCACCAAAGUCGCCCCAAGUCACCAGCAGAAACAAGCCAGCUACUUGAGGAAGACUUAAGAUUAUAAUGUUAGAAACAAUAAAGAAUUAAAAUACUA